GUGGAAUGAUGCUAGGGAAGCACGGCUAUUGAGUUGUUGACGUGCGCUCCCAAGGUAUGUCAUGCAAUUAACUUGCUGUGAAAAGAAUGGGGUGUGCAGUUACAAGUUAUUUUUGCGAGUACUCUAAAGAUUGGGAUGCACUCCUCACAACAAUGUGCUCCAUUGUUGUACGAAAAAGGGUUUUCCCCCGCUUUAUAUUAUAAAGCAACAGCACCAAGCAUCCAACAAGUUAAGGUCGGUUCAAGUACAAGCAGGUCUCAAAUAAUCGCUGGGGGCACAGCAAAACAAGCCCCAAACAAAGAGAACAGGAUCUAAUCCGGCUCGGGAGGGGGUGGCGGUGGUGGUGGCGCUAACGCCGAGGCCGAAGAGCGGAGACCCGAGAUGAUGUUGUCGAUGACGUCCCGAUCACGCCGCUUGCUAAGCGCUCUCCAUAGUUGUAAGAAGCCACACAAUUUUUAGAUUGCGUCAGUCACACGGCAAGGGAUCACGCGUUCGAUGACUAAUUUAUUGUAGAUGCACCAAAGGGUCCAUGCAAGGGUACCCAUAGCCACCCAGAUGGGGGCACGUCUAGAGUUGGGGAGCCUAUGGAUCUCCCCAAACAAGUCCGGAAGGUUGUCAUGGCACCAAACGCCACCAACAACCUCCCGGAAGCAGCUCCAAAGGAACUGCGCCGCAGGGCACCGGAAGAAAAUGUGGUUGGAGUCUUCCGGUACAAUGCAAAUGGGACAGAGGCCGUCCCCGGGGCCAUUACGCUUACGCACCUCCGUGCCCGAAGGCAGACGUCCUCGGACCCAUUGCCAAAGGAAUAUGUGGAUUUUCAAGGGGAGCUUGAUCUCCCAUAUCACUGAGAGCUCAAUAGGCCCGGGAGUGGGCACAAUCGCCUGGUACAGGGACCUUGUCGAGAAUCUGCCAUUGGGCUCAAGGCGCCAGGUCAGGGAAUCGGGCUCUAGGGAGGGGGUGUGUAGGGCAAUACACUCGAGCAGCUCCUCCCAUUGUGCGUGUUCCACCGCCCCAAAGGUACGUCGGAAGGCAAUAGAGCCCAUGUCAGCCAAUGCCAUGCCCACCGUAAGUUGUGGGCGGGCGCAUAUAGAGAAUAAAGCGUAGAACCGCUCCGCAAAAGGUCUAGUUCCGAACCAUCUAUCCAGCUAGAAAAGGGUGCCGGAGCCAGUACCCACCUUAAUGGAGGUCCCAAUACGUAGGACCGGCAUCAGUUGGAUCACCGAUUGCCAAAAUUGGGACCCUCCAGAUCUAGAGGCGAACGCCAGAGGUUGCCCUCGCAGGUACUUCGCGCGGAUAAUCUCCAGCCACAGUCCACCUUCGCCGGUCUGAAUGCGCCAAAGCCAUUUGGAGAGGAGGGCAAUAUUCAUCCGCUUAGAUGAGAUGACCCCGAGGCCGCCCUGAUCCUUAGGCUUGCAAAUCUCAGACCACUUCAUGUGGUAUUUCUGUUUAUUGCCCUCUCCAACCCAGAAGAAUCUGGAGAGGAGUUUGGUGACCUCAUGAUGAAGGGAUUCAUGUAAACUAUAGAAUCCCAUAACGUACAUCAAGAGGCUAAUAAGGGAGGAGUUCAUUAGAACCACUCGAGCGGCCUUGGAAAGCCACCUCCCUUGCCAAGGCUCCAUCCGAGGUUGGAGCUUGGAAAUAAUUGGGCGGAAGUCUUUCUCCUGUAGACGUGUGUCACUAAUCGGCAUGCCGAGGUAAGCUGUGGGGAAGGAUCCCAGCCGACAGUUCAAGCGAUUGGCAAUUCGCUGGGCCUCCUCCUCAAAGUACCCAAGAACCAUCACCUCGCUUUUGGCGAAGUUAAUCGUGAGACCCGACAUCUCUUGAAAGCAGAGGAGGAGAAACUUGAGGUGCCGAAUAUCCUCGUCCGAGCCUUCCACCAUCAUGAUGGUGUCGUCCGCAUACUAGAGGUGGGUCAAACCUCCAUUGUUGUAGCAGCUGCAGUCUCUCGUUUUAACAAACUCUGAGAAGAUUUUGUGAUGGAUUUUGGCAUGUGCUGCUUCAUAUGUUGUGACAACUUAUGGUUAGUGGUGCACUGGUACUUACCAUACAUUUUAUUUUGUUCAUUACUUACCCGUGAACCUAAAACUUUAUAGCAUGGCUCCAUUGUUGUUGGUUCAGCAAGCAAAGGAAAUGGUGAACUUAAACUUACAGUGAUUUUUAUAUUAUGAUUACAUAUACUUGUACAUCUUCCAAUAUGAGUUAUAGAGAGCCCUGAAAAGAUCAGAGUAUCCAUUAUAUUAAUGCUGAUUCAGUUUAAACUGCCCCCACAUUAUUACAUAUACUUGUACAUCUCCUUGAAAUGGAAUCACUCUUAAUCCGAUAAUGUUUUGUAGCCGUAAUUAUGACUUGCACAUAGAUGACAAGCUUAUUUGCUGGACAUGUUGCUAAACCUGAAUAGCAACCUAACCUGAACGAAAUUGACCUAAACAUAUACGUAAACUGGAGUAGUACUAGCCAAAAUACCUAGAUAGGACUAUCUGAUCAUACAGCACCCCUACACCAAAGAACGCACUGAAGGCAAUCACAAAGGCCACCUUGUAAUCAGUUUGUUUUGUUGACAGAACAGUGACAGGAGGUGCUUCUGCUGAACCACAUCUAUGAAUGAGCAUAGAUCCACAGAGCUUUAUAUUCCCGUCAAAGCUAGAUGUCCCAAAUGUGUUAAACUGGCCUCCAGAUGGAAUAGCACCUUCUAGAUCAUUGUCAGAAACGUUAAACGCUGCAAGGAAGUGCAGGCUGUCCAAUGCAGCUGGGAUUGCACCAGUGGGAUUGUUGUUGGACAAGUCUAGGACCUGCAGGCUUGUGAGGUUGCAUGUUGAUUCUGGGAUCUGUCCUGUUAAGUUGUUUAAGCUCAAAUUGAGUGAAUGGAGGGUUUUCAAUUGACCGAUCGUCAAAGGGAUCUCACCAGUGAACUUAUUGUUGCUUAGAUCCAGCAAUUUAGGGAAAGCGAAAGGUUGGCGAUAUUGAUGCGAUAGAGUUGGAUAAACAGGCAGUAUGAAGACCCUUUGGUUCUAAUUGGCAUCCGUCUUUGCUGACUCUAGCAUUGGCAUAUCGGUCAAUGUUGUUGGAAUUUCCCCUGUGAGGCUGUUGUUUGAUAUGUCAAGGUAGAAGACAUAGCUUAGAGCUUUGAUCCAGGCUGGUAUCGAUCCUGUGAGUUGAUUGUUAGACAAUAUUAGUAUCUCUAAAUUUGCUAGCUUUGAUAUCCAGAAAGGUAUUUUUCCGAAUAAUGGGCAAUCAUUUAUACCAAGAAACCGAAUAUUUUCAAAACUGCCAAUGGUGUCAUCCUCUGGCAUGAUCUCAUGCCUGAAGUUACGCCCAAUAAGAAGGGUGCUGAGGUUCUUGGAGCUUCCAAGAAUCUGAAGUGCAUCUGUUAUGUUUGUAAGAUUAUUAUUAUAAAGUGACAGGAACGACAGGGACUUCAGAUUGCCGAGCCCUUUUGCUAACUGGCCGUGGAACUUAUUGGAAGAUAGUCGCAGUGCAAUUAGAUUUCUGCAAGAGUAUAUACUUUCUGGAAUUAUGCCAUCGAAGUUGUUCCGCAUAAGAUCUAAAGACAUUAGAUUGGGUAGGCUAGAAAAAUUGACCUUGGUGAGUUGUCCGCUGAAAUUGUUGCAGUUGAGGUUGAUGGUUAUGAGAUUUGUGCAGUUUGCUAGAGUUGAUGGCAGCUCCCCAUACAUAAUAUUACUGUUCAAAUAGAGUUCCUCCAAUCUCUUGAGAUGGCCUACCACUGAAGUUGUUCUCUCCAAGAUCAAGGGUAACCAAAAAAGUGAGCUUGGCGAUAUAUGUGUCUUGAUAUUCCUUGUAAACUAUUCCUGGGAAAAGAGAGGAACUCCAAAGAGGUAGCAUUAAAGAGUUCGUCUGGGAGAGUCCCGCUGAGGUUGUUGUGGCCAACCUUGAGCACUCUGAGCAUGGAGCAGCUACCUAAUUCAGGUGGAAUGCUCCCUCUGAAUCGGUUGUAAGAGAGCUCAAGUGUUAGAAUAAAUCCGAGACGCUCCGUCGAUCUAUCGAGGACCAAGCAAUCACACAAAGCAUGACACCGAGAUUUGUUAACGAGGUUCACCGAUAUGGCUACAUCCCCGGGGUAUGACUACGGGCGCUCCUCCCCAUGACACCGUCACAAUACCGCACCCCGGGCGCCGACACACGCCGCCGGCUCCUCCGCGUGCCCGUGCUAUUAUGUUGGCAUAGGUUACAUCGUGUGUCUAUCCCCGAUAUAUACCCUGUCUACACACAGUCCAAAACCAAGUCCAACUGUAACCUACCUUGUACAAUAAUAUUCGACACAACUCUAACAAACUCCACCUUGGCGAAUAUUCUUCACCAUCUUGAAUUCAUCCUCCAUGUACAUUGGACUUGAGGUACGCCAUGAGCACCGCUGCUACUCCCAGACUCCAUGUAACUCCACCUGCAACUGUAGUCACUUCUCGUCUUCCUCACAGUCAACGCUCGAGCAAAAAUUAAGUUCCUCAUUACUCAACUCUGUGCACCCAACUUCCGGAGUAUCCGUUCAAUGUCAUUACACACCGACCACUGUCUGCGUGAAAAAUGAACAACUCACAUACUGAACGCAACAUAUAAGAGUUACCUGAACUCAACGUCAUCCCUCUUUCUUGACCGUCUGUCUGAAACUUGAAGGAAUUUCACCAUCGCCCUGUGUCACCUUGAGUCAAAUUCACAGUUGUCUCACCCUUUUCCCGGAUAGUCUCUGGCAUGCCCCACAGCUAUAGCACUCCGCCUUCUUCUGUAUUGGUCAUCCGCACUUUGCCAUGUGCACUGAACACCACAGAAUAUACGACAAUGUACUCUCUCAGCUUUCGACAGUUUCAGACUUUCCGCCACUUUCUCAGAUUCUUCACGGUCAACUCCUGUCCAUCAACUAGCACCGAUAGACCCAGUCACCAACUUGAAUCUGGUACUCGUCAACACUGCUUCAGCACCCUUGCACAGUUUGUUUGACCACAUGUCCGACCACCAGUGCCUUGGCCUGUCGCCGUGUCCCGUGCUUACCGCACGCCUCGCCGCUAUCACCGCGUCGAGCCUCUGCUGUCCUGGUCGAAUCUCCCGGGUAGCUAGCCCCCACUGCCUCAACCCUCACUGCAGAGAACCAUCGAUCAUCACCGACUGAUGUCGAGUAUCACGUCUCCAUCAGACCACUGGUACCGACCACUGGCGACCCGCAAGACCGAUUUGGAACUGCCGUACGCUACGUGACACCACCAACUGGACACCACGAUCCAUCGCCGAGUCCUCUGGAAACAUGCCGCCGCGGCUUCGGAUCGAUCUGCUGCUCGAUCGAGCGAAUCGAUCUCGUCGACGCCAACUGCCGCUGUUCGCUCGCCCCACGCGUUGUUCGCUGCCCAUCGCAUCUCGUUGAGACGGCCUCGAGUUGCUGCACACCGCUGAUGACACCGCCUGCUGCCUCUGAUUGCUUCCGACCCGAACAGAACUCCCGCCGCUUCCAUUGCUGUCCAUCCUCUGGAUCAACGUACGUCAACCUCUUCGUAACCUUGCUCAUGAUACCACUUGUUAGAAUUAAUCCGAGGUACGCGGUCGAUCCACCGAGGAACAAGCAAUCACAUCACAUGAUGACUAGAUAGCGACAGGCUCGCACGGGGGUGCUGGCGGCUUGUGCCGGCACCCGGGUGGCCGGUGUUGCGGUAUCUCGGGGAGGAGCGCCCGUAGUCAUUGCUCCGGGGAGUAGGCGAGUUCGCCGAACCUCGUUAACAAAUCUCGGUGUCAUCAUGUGAUGUGAUUGCUUGUUCCUCGGUGGAUCGACCGCGUACCUCGGAUUAAUUCUAAACAUCAAGCACGAGCAAGGACGGAAAGCUGGUGCAGAAAUGAGUUGGUAGUUGCCCAGUAAAGCUGUUGUUGCUGGCGUUGAGUGCGACCAGGUCUUUCAUGGCCCCCCAUGUGGAGGAUGGAAACUGUCCUGUAAACAAAUUGCUGGAGAUGUUCAGUACCUUCAAGGGACACACUGGGGUUGAAGAUGGCACCCCAUGCAGUUCUCCGUCUAGGUGGUUGAAGCUGAUGUCGAUGGCGACGAUGCUGUCGGAAGACACCAAUUCUUGUGGUAGUCCACCGGACAGCAUGUUGUUUGACAGAUUGAGUCGCAACAAUCCGGCGAGGCUGCCAAGAGUAGGUGAGAUAUACCCCUGAAGACCCUUGGAAGCCAGCGAGACAUCAGAGUAACCGUCCCAUCCAUGUUGCAGGUGAUCCCUUCCCACGUGCAGCAAUCUGUGCCGUUCUGCCACAACACGGCAAGGCCACCAUCCUGUGAGAGCCCAGCGAGGAACUUGAGGAGGGAGGCCUUCUCUUGCUCUGUGCAGGAGCUAGUGAUAGAGGCCAAGGACAUGAGCAUCACGAGAGCAAUGCCAAGGGAACUUAUCGGUAGUUUUCUGUCGUAUCUCAUGCGUGAAAGCUGGAGUGGCUGCAUGGUUUUCUUAUGAAACUAGCAUAUGGACACCAGAUGCUUAUUCUUUAGCUGGUUGCGUCUACAGUAUUAUAGAGCGUGCUCCUCCUUGUUCUGUACUUGUUACUUGUAGCAAGUAGGUCGCCUUGCAAUGACUGAAUUGAUUGACUCCGCCACCCAAGUUGUGGUUGUAACUAAAUUCUACAUGGAGAUUUGUUUCCUAAUCCUAAUGAUACGGCACGUAACUCACAUGUUUUCCUGAAACAAAAGGAAACCAGAUGCUUAUGUUGUACCCUGACUUGGUACAGCGUAUCAGUGGUCUGGUCAAGGAACAUUCUGAGGGCAAGAAUGGACAUUUAUAGCUCAAGAAACCUGGUGCUCUGUUACAUGAUUUCGUAAGAUUUUGCAAGUUGUACUAAUGAAUCUACCAGCGUAAGAUUUUGCAUCACACUGAAAUUUUGCAUGUACACAGAGCAGCUUGUCUGUAGGAACCGUCCUGCAAGAAAGGAAGAGGCCAAGGAGAUGAUCUGCACAAGGGCAAGGCUAAGGGAAGGUAUGUGCAAGUGCAAUAUCAAAUUAAGGCUGGGUGUUAUGCCCCUUUUCGGAGAAAAAGGGAAGGUCUGUAAAAACUGGAGGGGCUGCAUAGUUUUCUUGUAAAACUAUCAUGACGCUUCUUCUUCAGAUGGUUGCUUCUAUCAACAAGGAGGCCCUCCUCGGACGCCCUUCUGGAGUUCUUUACCGACUACGGAGUAGUCACUUUUGCACUUAAUGGUGUGACAUGCAGCUUGCUUGUUGUGGAUAAAUAAGGGAUACCCCCUCUGAUGUGCCCUGACUAUGUAAUGCGUCAAAGGUCUAGUCAAGGAAGACUUCGGAGUCCGGUAGCAAAAAAGGGGCAUGUUUGUAGCCUCAUGGAUGCGGUGACCUGGUGUUCUUUGCCUCUUUUGUCAUGCCGGCGUUGCCUGGUGCGUACGUCUGCUGUUGUUUUCCGUUCCCUCGGCUUCAAGUAGUCAGGAUAGCGUACGAGGACUUGCAAUGGCAGGGUGGUUGAUUGCAACAGGCCGGAAUUCGGGCUGGUUGCUGGCCAGUUUAGUUGAACACAUAGCUGGUGUAAAGAGUUUGUAUUUCUUUUGGGGUAUUAGUUAUGUUUUAGAUGAUGCUGUUUUGACGCUCUGUUCCCAGCGUAGAGUGAUGAGCAAAAGAAUCACUGUACAUGUGGAUAAUAAUAUAGUUCUGGUUGAGAAAAAUAGCAAAAGUUUUUGUGAGACCAGUGAUAGAAUCCAGGUAUAAUGUAUUCUUUACUUUGCCUGGUAUAUUUGCCAGAUCUUGUCUUUAGAUGAUGCUGGUCUUAUAUUCAUCUUCGAUGGAGUGCUGCUUGAUCUUUAUAGAUGUAUGAUAUAAUCUUUA
rnacentral:lncRNA from 1 species